AGCCUGCCCAUUGAAAUGCUAUAAUUGCAUACCUGGACCAUCUGGAGGCUGCAUUGAGACAAAAAUAGAUUGUCCUUCGUCCUAUACUCAGUGUGGUUCAGCCAGAAUGAAUUCAAAAAUGGGUGGUUUGGAAUAUAAACGUAUAUGGAGAACUUGUUUUCCACCUGAUCAGUGCUUCAAUGGCUCAGUCAACCUUGGAUUUUCCCAAGCUGUAAUUAACAUCAUGUGUUGCACCUCUGAUCUUUGCAACUCUCAGGAUGUCCCUGAUUGGAGCAUCUCCUCUCCAAAUGGGAAAAAGUGCUUCCAAUGUGAUGAAAAGGACUGCACCAAAACUCUAACCUGCAAUGGAACUGAGGACUACUGCAUCUCAGCAGCAGUGAACGCAGGAGGAGGAGCAACUACUAAAGUAAAGGGCUGUGCCUCCAAGAUGAUUUGUUCAAAACCACAAACUGCACAGCUCUCAGCAGUCAUUGGAGGAGAAAUCAGCUGCUGCCAGGGUGACCUCUGCAACAGUGCCAGCAGUACAACGGCCCACCUCCUGCUUUUUGUGACCCCGCUGAUCUCUUUGGUCUUUUUCUCUUAGCUGAUGGGGGAAAAAGCACAGCCCAGUUUUUCUUUAAACCACUUAUUUACCAAGAGUUUGAUGAAAAUAUAAAGUUUCACAAAUAACAGUCUUUACUUUUUAUCCUUCCUCAAAUAUUUUAAAAUUUGCUCCUUUGAUUUAUUUUUAAGUUCUUUAUACAUUUCUGUUUUCUUUAACAUUUCUGAAACAUUUUGAACUGAUACUCGAAGGUUAAAAUGAAAAAAAAGUACGUAAGUAGUAAGUGUGUAUACUCAUUAUUAUGUUACUUGAACUCUCCCAGCAGCUUCUAUGAAUGACACACACAUUGAUGAUGUAGAUGUAGUGAUGUAGAUGAUGUGAUGAGGCAGUCAAUGUUCAUUUGAAUGUGACAGCUUCAGUCUUGGUGACACAUCAGAAUAACCUGUACUUACAUGCAACUGUUUUAGCUGAUCUUGGCUCUGUAGAAGCUUUAGCAUCACUUCUUAAAAGAUUUAAGUGAGUCUAUGUAGAUAUUUAAGCCUGAAGAAUUUUUUGUGCCUUGUGGAUUAGAGAAAAUCUCAAAUAAAUUUGUACC